UGUNUGAAUGGCAUCACGAGGGCUUAACUGUCUCCCCUCCCCAGUCAAUGAAAUUGAUCUCCCCGUGCAGAAGCGGGGAUAAUACCAUAAGACGAGAAGACCCUAUGGAGCUUUAGACGUCAGAGCAGCCCAUGUAAAGCACCCCUUAACAAAGGAAAAAACCAAAUGAAGCCUGCCCUAAUGUCUUUGGUUGGGGCGACCGCGGGGAAAUACAAAACCCCCAUGUGGAGUAGGAAUACACAUUCCUAAACCCAAGAGCUCCCGCUCUAAUGAACAGAAAUUCUGACCAAUAAGAUCCGGCACACGCCGAUCAACGGACCGAGUUACCCUAGGGAUAACAGCGCAAUCCCCUUAAAGAGCCCUUAUCGACAAGGGGGUUUACGACCUCGAUGUUGGAUCAGGACAUCCUAAUGGUGCAGCCGCUNUUAAGGGGGGUUGU
rnacentral:rRNA from 1 species